UUGCAAAGCAUGUCAGGAAGAUUGUAGUUGUCACUGCAAGUCCGAUAAGCAUCUGGGCGGGGCUUGCUUGGUUUCACAGGGCCCCRCCUUGGGAAGAUUCAUGAUGAUCCCUAAUCUCCCAUAUCCCUCUUGCUCUCUGGAGUACCAUGGCCCAGAGUCCCUUCUACAAACCUCUGUCACCACCUCAGGCACAGUGUUGUGACCAAGGGAAGGUACCACUUCAAGGUGUCGGGCUCUCCACUGGGCUCCCAAGGACCUGCUGUUUUAGAUGACACACACACAACUGGCAUUCUCCAUUUUCUCACAGACCUGCUGGAACCCCAUGAAUUCAGCUCUAAUUCAAGUAAGGAAGGCCUUUUCUUUCCUUGCAGGAUGGAAGGAAGAAGAUGGCCAAGCAAAGCAAGUUCUGCCAAUGAUGAGACGGAAUUGAUCCAACAGUGAAACAUGAAAAAGAACAGAAGGCUUUUACCUAUUGCAGAAGACAUCUGAGAAUCAGGGAUAAAAUAAGGUUGCUCAUCUGAGUGGCUUUCACUUCAAGAGGCUUUACACUGGGACUGGCAGGUUCUUCCUUGGAACUCUCAACCAUCCCUCAGAAGACCGUGACUUUGAGUUACCAUCUUUUCAGCAUAAAUAAGACUGGGUUUACUGUACCUGUUGACAAAUGUUCCCAGGAUAUCACCACUGGAAAUGCUGUCCAUGACCACCAUCAGAUCCCGAGAGCAGGAGUUCAAGUAGCCAACCACCGGUGCUUACAGGUCACUCCCAGCUCUUGAAUCUGUGGACCAACCUUUCAGUCCUGCCUCAGCCACACACUCAUUAAAGAUGGUCACAACUUUUUGGAU